rnacentral:rRNA from 2 species
UCAAAGAUUAAGCCAUGCAUGUCUAAGUAUAAGCAAUUAUACAGCGAAACUGCGAAUGGCUCAUUAUAUAAGUUAUCGUUUAUUUGAUAGUACCUUACUACUUGGAUAACUGUGGUAAUUCUAGAGCUAAUACAUGCUAAAAAUCCCGACUUCGGAAGGGAUGUAUUUAUUAGAUUAAAAACCAAUGCCCUCUGGGCUCUCUGGUGACUCAUAAUAACUUCUCGAAUCGCAUGGCCUUGCGCCGGCGAUGGUUCAUUCAAAUUUCUUCCCUAUCAACUUUCGAUGUUUGGGUAGUGGCCAAACAUGGUUGCAACGGGUAACGGAGGGUUAGGGCUCGACCCCGGAGAAGGAGCCUGAGAAACGGCUACUACAUCCAAGGAAGGCAGCAGGCGCGCAAAUUACCCAAUCCCGAUUCGGGGAGGUAGUGACAAUAAAUACUGAUACAGGGCUCUUUUGGGUCUUGUAAUCGGAAUGAGUACAAUUUAAAUCCCUUAACGAGGAACAAUUGGAGGGCAAGUCUGGUGCCAGCAGCCGCGGUAAUUCCAGCUCCAAUAGCGUAUAUUAAAGUUGUUGUGGUUAAAAAGCUCGUAGUUGAACCUUGGGCCUGGCUGGCCGGUCCGCCUCACCGCGUGCACUGGUCCGGCCGGGCCUUUCCCUCUGUGGAACCCCAUGCUCUUCAUUGGGCGUGGCGGGGAAACAGGACUUUUACUUUGAAAAAAUUAGAGUGCUCCAGGCAGGCCUAUGCUCGAAUACAUUAGCAUGGAAUAAUGAAAUAGGACGUGCGGUUCUAUUUUGUUGGUUUCUAGGACCGCCGUAAUGAUUAAUAGGGACAGUCGGGGGCAUCAGUAUUCAAUUGUCAGAGGUGAAAUUCUUGGAUUUAUUGAAGACUAACUACUGCGAAAGCAUUUGCCAAGGAUGUUUUCAUUAAUCAGGAACGAAAGUUAGGGGAUCGAAGACGAUCAGAUACCGUCGUAGUCUUAACCAUAAACUAUGCCGACUAGGGAUCGGACGAUGUUAUUUUUUGACGCGUUCGGCACCUUACGAGAAAUCAAAGUGCUUGGGCUCCAGGGGGAG